GUGGGGAAUAUUGGGCAAUGGGCGCAAGCCUGACCCAGCAACGCCGCGUGAGGGAAGAAGGCUUUCGGGUUGUAAACCUCUGUCCUUGGUGACGAAGAAAGUGACGGUAGCCAAGGAGGAAGCCCCGGCUAACUACGUGCCAGCAGCCGCGGUAAUACGUAGGGGGCGAGCGUUGUCCGGAAUUACUGGGCGUAAAGGGUGCGUAGGGGGCCUGUUAAGUUGGAUGUGGAAUACCCGGGCUUAACUUGGGGGGUGCAUCUAAUACUGGGAGGCUAGAGUGCAGGAGAGGGAAGCGGGAUUCCUAGUGUAGCGGUGAAAUGCGUAGAUAUUAGGAGGAACACCAGUGGCGAAGGCGGCUUUCUGGAGUGUAACUGACACUGAGGCACGAAAGCGUGGGGAGCAAACAGGAUUAGAAACCCGAGUAGUCC
rnacentral:rRNA from 1 species